rnacentral:rRNA from 1 species
AUUGAUCGCUGGCGGCAUGCCUUACACAUGCAAGUCGAACGGCAGCACGGGAGCUUGCUCCUGGUGGCGAGUGGCGAACGGGUGAGUAAUACAUCGGAACGUACCCUGAAGUGGGGGAUAACGUAGCGAAAGUUACGCUAAUACCGCAUAUUCUGUGAGCAGGAAAGAGGGGGAUCGCAAGACCUCUUGCUUUAGGAGCGGCCGAUGUCGGAUUAGCUAGUUGGUGAGGUAAAGGCUCACCAAGGCGACGAUCCGUAGCGGGUCUGAGAGGAUGAUCCGCCACACUGGGACUGAGACACGGCCCAGACUCCUACGGGAGGCAGCAGUGGGGAAUUUUGGACAAUGGGCGCAAGCCUGAUCCAGCCAUGCCGCGUGAGUGGA